UACCCAUGUGUGUUCGCUUGUUUUGUACUGUUCUGGAGUUUUGACCCAAUGAUUCAUCUGACAAACAAAGAACUUUGCGUCCUGCAGGGCCAGGCAUGGAUCAAAACUGGUGAGACAUUCAAUAAUGUCAUCUUCACAGACGAAUCAACCGUGGCCCUUGAGCAAUUUGCUCAAAAUUGCUACAGAAACAAAGGAAGAAGAUCAAGCAAGCUGAGUCCCAAGCAUCCACUCAAACUCCAUGUGUGGGGGGCCAUGUCUCGCCAGGGACCUGGCCCAUAUUUGAUUUUUGAUGGUAUCAUGGCUCGAGAAUUCUUUGAGGAAGAAAUCAUCAAGAGAUAUGCUGGACCCUAUGUCAGAAAGGUGUUUCUGGGUACACAUKAUUUCUUUCAAGACAAUGACCCAAAACACUGCCGCCCGGGUU